rnacentral:lncRNA from 1 species
GCAGAGGGAGACUGAGAAACAACAAGAUGCAGGUGCAGGUGGUGAUAAUGUAGAUGGGCCUGGAGGAGCAAGUGGUGGCAAUGACGUGCAUGGAAGGUGAGUUUACAGCUUUAUGCAGUGUUAAGUGUUCUAUUCCCUCUGGUUGGAAAUAAGUGCUAUACGCCACUUAUUUCUGAUAGGAGGGAGUAUUAAUUAAGAUCUAAAUCAUCCUUUUUAACAUUGAAAUGGUCCUCCCUCCAUUGGACUUUCCCAGAAAGUAGUCUGUCUCUAUUCAACUACUCCUGGGAAUUAUUUUGUUAGAUAAUUUAACUCCAUCCAGCUCCAUUGAUGUACUGGAAUGAAUGUUAAAUGAAGAUUACUAAUGCC